UGUAUCUGAAGCCUGACGAGGAUGAGAACCUCCGGGGGCAAGAGGUUCGACCCGAGCGAAGCGAGAGAACGUUGCGCCAGCAACGGCCCGCAGGGCGAGCCACGCAGUGGCGAGUCAUCCUCUAUCACCGACCA
rnacentral:sRNA from 41 species